AUGGCCAAUUCACGCAACGGGACACAACUGUCGCAUGGCAUCAAUGUGCUCCUUGGCGUGUCACACGCCAUCAAGCACUUACACUGUCAUGCCAACCCGCCGAUCAUCCACCGGGACAUCAAGUCAGCUAACAUCCUUUUUGAUGCCAGUUGGGUGCCUCGUUUGUCAGACUUUGCUUCCUCGGUUGUAUGGGACAUGGCAACUCAGGAGGAGGGGAUGGAGGUCCCAGUUAUAGGCACAUUUGGGUACAUAGCUCCUGAGUGCAUCAUGCAUUGUCAUCUGAAGCCGGCGAGCGACGUGUACAGCCUGGGCGUGGUGAUGCUCGAGGUUCUGACAGGGAAAAGUGCAUAUUCUCAACUGAAGGAUGAUGGGACAGGUGGACCUUUGACAGACUUCGCACUCCCCAUCAUUGAAGUCGGUAAUAUUGAGGAGUUGUUGGACAGGCGACCUGUACCGGAGCCAACGCCUUGGCAGCUGCAGGCGAUGAAACGUGUGGCGCAGAUUGCAUGGUGCUGCGGGAAGUUGGAUGCGAAGGACCGGCCGGCCAUAUCAGACAUUGUUGCCAGCCUCGAGAUGGCGUAUGAGUUGAUGUGCCGAGACGAGGCUGGUUCAGUUGACGAGCCAUGUUUGUGGCCCUUCGUCGAACAAAUUGACCUCCCAUCGGACUCACCACACUCCAGGAGCUCGUCAUCGGCAGGCUACCAUUCCGAGCUGGUACACUACAAACUAAUAGUUGAACUCUGUUCACAUAAAUUUAACCAUGUUCAUACACUGAUGAUGGGGGCUCACUAUUUUUUUUUCGAGAGUACGCCAAAGGCGUACCUUACUUUUAUAGAAGAGAAGAAAUAG
rnacentral:rRNA from 1 species